CCAGCAGCCGCGGUAAUACGGGAGUGGCAGCGUUAUCCGGAUUAUUGGCGUAAGCGUCCGCAGGCGGCCCUUCAGUCUGCUGUUAAAAGUGGAGCUUAACUCCAUCAUGGCAGUGGAAACUGUUGGGCUUGAGUGUGGUAGGGGCAGAGGGAAUUCCCGUGUAGCGGUGAAAUGCGUAGAUAUCGGGAGACACCAGUGGCGAUGCGCUCUGCUGGGCAUCACUGACGCUCAUGGACGAAUGCCAGGGGAGCGAAGGAAUCAGAUACCCAGUAGUCCUUGCGUAACGAUGACCACAGGGUCCGGGGAUCGACCCCUCCGUGUCGUAGCCACGCGUCAGUGAUCCGCCUGGGAGUACGCCACGCCAAGUGUGAACUCCAACGGCAUGACGGGGGUCCCGCACCAGCGGUGGAGUAUGUGGUUUCAAUUCCGAUGCAACGCGAAGAACCUUACCAGGGUUUGACCAUCCUGCGAAUCUCUAGAAACAGGAGAGUGCCUUCGGGAACGCAGUGACAGGUGGUGCAUGGCUGUCGUCAGCUCGUGUCGUGAGAUGUUGGGUUAAGUCCCGCAACGAGCGCAACCCCACGUCUUUAGUUGCCAGCAUUUAGUUGGGCACUCUAGAGAGACUGCCGGUGAUAAACCGGAGGAAGGUGUGGAUGACGUCAAGUCAUCAUGCCCCUUACAUCCUGGGCUACACACGUACUACAAUGCUACGGACAAAGGGCAGCAAGUUCGCGAGGACAAGCAAAUCCCAUAAACCGUGGCUCAGUUCAGAUCGUAGGCUGCAACUCGCCUACGUGAAGGAGGAAUCGCUAGUCAUCGCAGGUCAGCAUACUGCGGUGAAUACGUUCCCGGGCCUUGUACACACCGCCCGUCACACCAUGGAAGUUGGCCACGCCCGAAGCCGUUACUCCAACCCUUGUGGAGGAGGACUCGAAGAUGGGGCUGAUGACUGGGGUG
rnacentral:rRNA from 1 species